GCUUUGGGUGGUCUAGCAGCUAAGGCUUGAGCUAUAUCACAACUUAUGACCAUCUUCCAGUAGAAGUCAACAUUUAAAAUGAAAUCAGGAUCAUAAAAUUUUUCAGCUGCAUGCUUUUAAUCAUGGGAGUUUCUUGGUAGUUUAGUACAUAGUUUUAACACUUUGAUGGUUUUAGCUUCAGUUUCUUUUGCUCCAAUGAUCACAUGGAGAGUGAUAGUAGUUACGGGCAAUUACAGACCUGACCAAAGCAUUGGAGUUUGAGCCAGACUCUGCUGAUAUCUUACAUGAAAGAGGAAUUGUCAAUUUUAAUUUUAAGUUUAAAGAUUUCAAAGGUGCUGUUGAAGACCUCUCUACAUGUGUAAAGUUUGAUAAGGAUAACAAAUCUGCGUAUACAUAUUUGGGCCUGGCUUUAUCCUCUCUAGGAGAAUAUAGAAAGGCUGAGGAGGCACAUAAAAAAGCAAUCCAAAUUGAAAGGAAUUUCCUUGAGGCUUGGGCUCAUCUUGCACAGGUAUCUCCAAAUAUAUGCUGAAUACACUUAAUCCUAUUUGUCCUGCCAAACGGAAUCCUAAUACUUCUAUUGGUAGAACUAAUGAUAUAGAGUCCCUUCAUGAGGAAGUUGCCAUUUGAUUUCGAAAAUUUUCCCUUUGUUUUACCAAGUUCUUGUUUAUGUUUUUCUCUUUUUUCA